rnacentral:rRNA from 1 species
AGUAAUGUCUGGGAAACUGCCUGAUGGAGGGGGAUAACUGCUGGAAACGGUAGCUAAUACCGCAUAACAUCGCAAGACCAAAGAGGGGGACCUUCGGGCCUCUUGCCAUCGGAUGUGCCCAGAUGGGAUUAGCUAGUAGGUGGGGUAACGGCUCACCUAGGCGACGAUCCCUAGCUGGUCUGAGAGGAUGACCAGCCACACUGGAACUGAGACACGGUCCAG